CCAGUGUUCUUAAGCACUGAGUCAUCUCUCCAGCCCCAUCCUCACAUUUUGAUAGUAAAUCUGGACUAUUUGGCCAGCAACCACGCCAGUUACACACACCCACAUCACUGGCUGAAAGCCGGGUCCCAGAUGGCGUGUGUGAUGUAAGCAUGUGAUGGUCCCUGAGCCUCGAGGGAGUGAUACACCUGUCCCAUUCAAGGUCGAGUGCUCCACCAUCAUUUACUCUCUGUGCUGUGUCAAUUAGAGAUUUCUGCAGUAACCACCACUGCUGCAGCAAGAAGUUUCUCUGAUGAAGGCUGGGCAGAGCAAUAAUCUUAAAUGAUGACCACCCAGUAUUGGAUUCUAGGAUCCCAGCCCACUGAAUCUUGUCACUCAGAUUUAGUUGGGUGUCUUUCCUCCUUGGUUUAACCUUUCUUGAUGCACCCCCAGAGAUGUAUCUCCAGUGUGAUUUGAAGACCCACCAUGUUGACAUCAAAAUCAAACAUUGCAAUUGCAAACACCCAAAGGACUUCAACUCCAACCACAAAGACACUUGGAAAUAUUGUUGCUGCUCUAUUCACCACAGCAAGGAAAUGGAAGUAGCCCAAAUACCCACCAACAGAUUAAGGAAUAAUGAGAACAUGUUAGAUAUACAUGAUGGCAUUUUAUUCAGCUCUAAAGAAAAGUGAAAUCAAACUUUCAGGAAAAUGGAUGGAACUGUGAAGAUAAUAUUAAUGAUGAAGCUGCCGGAUGAUGCUUCUCUCAGCAAGGAUUUCCGUUGUUAAGCAACACAUGACUGGAUUUAGAGAUGGGAGAUAUGGGAUCCUGAUUUGGAAGAAGAAUGAACAUGUAAUGUUCCUUGACAUUGCCAAGUUCCUCCCAAGGGAGUGCAACUCUUUCCAUUCCCCCCAGUGAGGCAGAAGAAUGCCAUUUCCCCACAGUCUUACCAAGAAAAUUUAUUGUCGAACUUCUGGAUUUUUGCCAGUUGGAUUAUGAGAAAUGAAGUGCCCAGAGAAUUCUACAUUUUCUUCUAAUGAGGGGGAGCCACUCUUUUAUUUCUGCAACUGAGAUGAGCCCCUUCCACUAAUUUUUUGGCUUUUACUUUGAUAUAACUAGUUAUAUCUGGGUUUUUGCUUUGCAGUGUCAGCUAUGGUCUCUUUGGCCAGCAGGGGUCAUGAGGGGUAUCUUGGGGACCCUUCUUAUGGCUUUAAUUUUGACUUUGUUCACUGGGUCUUAGAAGGUGAAGAUCAGCUCCAAGGAUCAUGAGGGUUUGGUCCUCACUUUCCAUCCUGUUUAAGACAGUCUCUUGGGGCUCAUCUCUGUGAUACCAGACUAGCUCACCUAUGAGUUUCUGCAGCUUCUCCCGUGUCUUCCCCCUAUAUGCCCCCAAAAGUGCUGGGAUUACAUAUGUGUGCAUGUGUCUUUCUUUUGCACGGGUUCUAGGGCUCCAGACUGGGGUUGUCAGGUUGUAUGGCAAAUGCUUUAACCACCCAGCUAUGCUACCCCUCCCCUGUCCUCCUUUUCUAGGAUUUUGAGAGACAAAAGAUGAUUGAUUUGAGACUCCUGUUCUUCAGCGUAGGAUUCCAUUUCAAUCAUCUCUCAGGAUUUCUUUAGUUGUAUCCCACAAAAUCUGAUAUGUUUUAUUUCCUUUUUCUUUAAGUUCAAUGGGCUUUAAUUGUUUUUUGAACUGUUCUCUUUGGUUCAUGAAUGAUUUAGAAAUAUAUGAUUUAGUGUCCGAUGGAUGAAAGAUUUUCAUUAUUUAAAGUUUUAUUACAAUGUGGUCAGAGGGUACAUUCCAUGUGAUUAAAAUAUUUAAAUGUGUUAAUACUUAUUUUUAUGGCUCAGAGGCGUCUGCCUUGGUACAUGUCCCACAGGCACUAGAAAAGAAUGUGUACCACUUCUGGUGGGUACAUAUUUUUCUGAAUACUUGUUCUAUACACUGCUG
ensembl:lncRNA